rnacentral:rRNA from 1 species
UUACAGAACGCCCGGGCUUCGGCCUGGUUAUUCAUAACCCUUUGUUGUCCGACUCUGUUGCCUCCGGGGCGACCCUGCCUUCGGGCGGGGGCUCCGGGUGGACACUUCAAACUCUUGCGUAACUUUGCAGUCUGAGUAAACUUAAUUAAUAAAUUAAAACUUUUAACAACGGAUCUCUUGGUUCUGGCAUCGAUGAAGAACGCAGCGAAAUGCGAUAAGUAAUGUGAAUUGCAGAAUUCAGUGAAUCAUCGAAUCUUUGAACGCACAUUGCGCCCCCUGGUAUUCCGGGGGGCAUGCCUGUUCGAGCGUCAUUUCACCACUCAAGCCUCGCUUGGUAUUGGGCAACGCGGUCCGCCGCGUGCCUCAAAUCGUCCGGCUGGGUCUUCUGUCCCCUAAGCGUUGUGGAAACUAUUCGCUAAAGGGUGUUCGGGAGGCUACGCCGUAAAACAACCCCAUUUCUAAGGUUGACCUCGGAUCAGGUAGGGAUACCCGCUGAACUUAAGCA